rnacentral:tRNA from 12 species
CGCGGGGUGGAGCAGCUUGGUAGCUCGUCGGGCUCAUAACCCGAAGGUCGUUGGUUCAAAUCCAGCUCCCGCAACCA